AGAGUUUGAUCCUGGCUCAGAACGAACGCUGGCGGCAGGCCUAACACAUGCAAGUCGAGCGAGACCUUCGGGUCUAGCGGCGGACGGGUUAGUAACGCGUGGGAACGUGCCCUUCUCUGCGGAAUAGCCACUGGAAACGGUGAGUAAUACCGCAUACGCCCUUCGGGGGAAAGAUUUAUCGGAGAAGGAUCGGCCCGCGUUAGAUUAGAUAGUUGGUGGGGUAAUGGCCUACCAAGUCUACGAUCUAUAGCUGGUUUUAGAGGAUGAUCAGCAACACUGGGACUGAGACACGGCCCAGACUCCUACGGGAGGCAGCAGUGGGGAAUCUUAGACAAUGGGCGCAAGCCUGAUCUAGCCAUGCCGCGUGUGUGAUGAAGGUCUUAGGAUCGUAAAGCACUUUCGCCAGGGAUGAUAAUGACAGUACCUGGUAAAGAAACCCCGGCUAACUCCGUGCCAGCAGCCGCGGUAAUACGGAGGGGGUUAGCGUUGUUCGGAAUUACUGGGCGUAAAGCGUACGUAGGCGGAUCAGAAAGUAAGGGGUGAAAUCCCAGGGCUCAACCCUGGAACUGCCUCUUAAACUCCUGGUCUUGAGUUCGAGAGAGGUGAGUGGAAUUCCAAGUGUAGAGGUGAAAUUCGUAGAUAUUUUGGAGGAACACCAGUGGCGAACGCGGCUCACUGGCUCGAUACUGACGCUGAGGUACGAAAGUGUGGGGAGCAAACAGGAUUAGAUACCCUGGUAGUCCACACCGUAAACGAUGAAUGCCAGUCGUCGGGCAGUAUACUGUUCGGUGACACACCUAACGGGAUUAAGCAUUCCGCCUGGGGAGUACGGUCGCAAGCNNAAAACUCAAAAGGAAUUGACCGGGGGCCCGGCACAAGCGGUGGGAGCAUGUGGGUUUAAUUCGAAGCAACGCGUCAGAACCUUUACCAACCCUUGACAUCCCUGUGCUAACCCAAAAGAUCGGGCGUUCACUUUCGUUGACGCAUUGACAGGUGCUGCAUGGGCCGUCGUCAGCUCGGGUCGUGAAGAGGUCAGGUUAGUUCGGCUACGAGCGCAACCCCAUCUUUAAAUGCCCGCACAUUCGCUUGGGCA
rnacentral:rRNA from 1 species